CUCCUCCUCCGGUCUACUCCCCACCACCACCCAAGGAGCCUUACAAGUAUAAGUCUCCACCACCUCCUCCACCAGUGCAUUAUCCUCCACCCCCUUACGAGUACAAGUCUCCUCCGCCACCCCCGCCAUCACCACCCAAGCAUCCCUAUAAGUACAAGUCUCCACCUCCACCUCCACCAUCACCACCCAAGCACCCUUACAAGUACAAGUCUCCACCACCCCCACCAUCACCACCCAAGCACCCCUACAAGUACAAGUCUCCUCCACCACCUCCACCAUCACCACCCAAGCACCCCUACAAGUAUAAGUCUCCACCACCCCCACCAUCACCACCCAAGCAUCCUUACAAGUACAAGUCUCCACCACCACCACCACCAUCACCACCCAAGCACCCCUACAAGUACAAGUCUCCUCCACCUCCACCAUCACCACCCAAGCAUCCCUACAAGUACAAGUCUCCACCACCCCCACCCUCACCACCCAAGCACCCCUACAAGUACAAGUCUCCACCCCACCCCCACCCUCACCACCCAAGCACCCUUACAAGUACAAGUCUCCCCCACCACCCACUCCAGUCUACAAAUAUAAGUCUCCUCCCCCUC
rnacentral:lncRNA from 1 species